AUUGAACGCUGGCGGCAGGCCUAACACAUGCAAGUCGAGCGGAGCGGCGGACGGGUGAGUAAUGCCUAGGAAUCUGCCUGGUAGUGGGGGAUAACGGCCGGAAACGGGCGCUAAUACCGCAUACUAUCAGAUGAGCCUAGGUGGGAUUGGCUAGGUGGUGGGGUAAAGGCCUACCAAGGCGACUAUCCGUAAAUGGUCUGAGAGGAUGAUCAGUCACACUGGAACUGAGACACGGUACAGACUCUCACGGGAGGAAGCAGUGGGGAAUAUUGGACAAGGGGCGAAAGCCUGAUCCAGCCAUGCAGCGUGUGUGAAGAAGGUCUUCGGAUUGUAAAGCACUUUAAGUUGGGAGGCGUUACCAACAGAAUAAGCACCGGCUAACUUCGUGCCAGCAGCCGCGGUAAUUC
rnacentral:rRNA from 1 species